CACACGCGUUUCUGGCCGCGCUCGGUGUGCCCGUGUGCGCCAGUGGCCGCGCACGGUUCCUUUAAAGCGUUAGCGGCAACGGCGUAAGGAGAGAAUAAUCACUGCUGCUGGAUAAGCAGCCGCACGGCGAAGGGAUAAAAACACAUCUGAGGUGUUUGGGUGACAUUUAAAAUUUGCAAGAUAAGAGCCUCAAUUAUUUAUUCGCUGAAUCCCCAGGUAGAAUGGCCUGCGCUGGUACCGCCGCUGCAUAUGUAUGUGCACCUACAUAAAGAGAUUUUUCUUUUUGUUCUGUAAACUGAUCCAGUCAUUGAUGUUGACAGUAUGUUAUAGUUAUGUGAAAACAGUGUAAUUGUGUGAUGGCUCAUCAGUGCUACGACUGCCAAUUGUGGUGGCAGUGGGUGUUCUCACAAUUCAAGGCUCAUGAAAGUAACAGCACAGAUCCACUGAGAUGAUCAUUACACAGUAGAAAUAGGCCUAUUGGAACUGAUGCAGACAGAUCCAUUAUGCUGGGGAAAACUUGGCUUCAAAUUCUUACACAGGGCACAGCCAAAGAUGUCAAUAAAGAAAAAUGAUUGCAGCAGAGUGGGCUGGUGCAGGAAGAGAGAGGCUUUCUGCUUUGCGUUUUCAGCAAUUAAAAACCCUACGACAUCUUCUGCAAAACAUCAUGUCUUUCCUUCAGCCUGGAUGCCGCAACAUAUAACAGUUACAUCUCAAACAUCAGGCACGACAGCAAAGCCAGCCAAGGGCUUUGUAGUGAAUUCUGAAGGCAUGUGGUGCAGCAGUGAAAAACUGGGCAGUUGGGUCAGGCAGGGUCAGGCAUUGAGCUUCAGCAGUGUGAUGUUACGGUGCUUCUACUCAGAGGAUUCUAACCGCUAUGCUAUAUGUAUCUAACUGUAUAGAUUACGGUUAUCUAUAACUGAUUAUCUAUGUUAUUUUCCAUACAAAGUUGUCCAUCAGAACUACCUUUACUAGAUAAAUGCACAUUUAGAUAUGUAUAUCAAAAUGCAUUACAUAUAUUUCUAACUAGCAUAUACUGCACAGUGUAUUGUAUAUUCAGUCUAGUCAAAAGGCCAAAAGUAUUCCAUGGACUCUGGAUUAUAUUCCUGCCAGAUGAUCUGAAAGUUAUCACCUGCUGACUAACUCCACAUGUUAUCCUCCUGCUCUGCCAUAUGGCCCUGGAUGAUGAGACCCAACGCACCCUCCUCAGAUGACACCACGCUGAAGGGAUGGUUGAUAUAGUGGAGGGCAGAGCUGCCAUUCAGAAAGACCUCAACAAACUGUAGGAACCUCAUGAAGUUCAACAAAGACAAAUGUGACGUCCUACAUCCAGGCCGGAAGUACCCCAUGCAAGAGGACAGACUGGAGGCUGAGUAGGUGACCCUACAGCCAGCGUUUUGGGGCCAUAGCAUGAGAGAUACUGACAAACUGGAGGGCUUCCAGAAAAGGCUACUAAGACAGGGGGCUGGAGGAUAUGAUGUACAAGAAGAAGCCGGCACAAUUGGGUCUGAUUAGCCUGGAAAAGAGCAGACUAAGAAGGAAUACAACUGCAGUCUUCCACCACCUUAAAGGAGGAUUAUGGAGAAGACAGAACCAGACUUUUCUCAGAGAUGCAUAGCAAAAGGAUAAGAGACAACAGUCAUAAGCAGCAAUGAGGAAAAUAAUGAUUGGAAAUAAGGAAAAAAAUUCAUCCCAGUGGGCUUGGUGCAUCACUGGGUCAGAGGCCCAAAGGACCUGUUCAGUCUCUGCCCCUGGAAAUUUUCAAAAUUUGACAAGGCCCUGAGCAACUGGAUCUGAUUUUGAAGCUAGCCCUGCUUUGAGCAGGAGGUUGGACUAGAGACCUGUAGAUGCCUCUUCCAAUCUACAUUUUUCUGUGAGUCUACAUUGUAAGACCCAGUUCUGUAGAAUACUAAGCACUGCAACCUUUCCAUCAGUCAAAGAUGCUUGAACUUCUGUCAGGGGUCAGAGUCCCUUACAGAGGGAGCAGUGGCCUGUCUAAGCCUCAGCGAUGAUUUCAUUUCUGGUAGGUAACCAGAUCUGAGUCUGAUCAAUUAUUUGAUUGCAUAGACAAUCCUCCAUUGCUGACUCACUCUUCCAUCCCAAAUACCUAUUGUAAGGUAGUCUUACAGUUUUAUUCACAUUGUAAUAACAGACUGAGAUAUUCAAGGUUUGAUACUCCUCUCCCUUUCCUCAAAAAUGCAAGAUUCAACAGCGAUAAAGAAGAAGAAAAGACAGAAAAAAUGUUUUUUCUUGAACAAUGAAUGGAACUGCUACAUUUCAGGUAAAUAUUAUCACUGAUUUAUGAUACAAUCAUUUCUACAGUCAGCAGGCCAAAUCUCACUAAUAAUUCCAUCCUCGUCAAAACAGACAGAGUUGCUCAUACAAGUAAAGGUUUGCAGGCAUGCAAAUUAAUUUGUAGUAAGAUGGUUAAAGUUCUAAAUCAUGUAUUAAAUUGCUUUUAUUGUAUAACUCUAACUUCAUUUUCCAAGCUAGUCACAUGCAACAGAGAUGCAGAAACUCAGGUAUUCUAGCUGUGGGAGUGAUUAGCUGUUGGUGCCUUCUAAAACUGGAUUUGUAAGUUAGAUCACUGGAAAGAUCAGUCAUUUAUGCCCUGGAAGUCACGAGAUCAGAGAGGUGGAAUAUUGGCAGAAGAUUAGGUUUAUUUUUGUAUAUGUGCUUGAAAUAUUUAGACAGGCAUUUUAAGCCCUGAUGCAGCACAGCAAAAAAGGCAUGAGCAAGCCCAUCUCAGGUUUUCAAGGAACAUAAAUAUUGAUUUAUCCUUGAACAGUAGCCCAAAGGCCCAUUAAAGUUCAAGGGAAAGCAGUGAUACUCAAGCACUUGCUUAAAGUUAGGCAUGAGCUCAAAGGUACUGAUGACCUGGGGAGUAUUUACUUGAAUAUCCCCAUGCAACACACAGGGAGCUACCACCAGGUUUGUUUAUAUUUCAGGCAUUUCUGCAUCUUCUUCUUUCUGCUCGGAAACACACUGCAGACAGUUUUGAUUUUGUCCACAGAAGAAAAUGAGCAUUCCACAUAUGAAUUCUGUGCCUGGUCCUGCCUGAUGAAAACAGAGGAGUUAGCCACUGGUUUCUGUAGGGUCAGUGCGGGCUAUAAACAUGUUCCAUCAGUCUCAUGAAUAAAUACAUUUGGUGCUUUAAAACA
ensembl:lncRNA